rnacentral:rRNA from 1 species
GGUUAAGCGACUAAGCGUACACGGUGGAUGCCCUGGCAGUCAGAGGCGAUGAAGGACGUGCUAAUCUGCGAAAAGCGUCGGUAAGGUGAUAUGAACCGUUAUAACCGGCGAUGUCCGAAUGGGGAAACCCAGUGCAAUUCGUUGCACUAUCGUUAACUGAAUACAUAGGUUAGCGAGGCGAACCGGGGGAACUGAAACAUCUAAGUACCCCGAGGAAAAGAAAUCAACCGAGAUUCCCCCAGUAGCGGCGAGCGAACGGGGAGCAGCCCAGAGUCUGAAUCAGCUUGUGUGUUAGUGGAACGGUCUGGAAAGUCCGACGGUACAGGGUGAUAGUCCCGUACACCAAAAUGCACAGGUUGUGAACUCGAAGAGUAGGGCGGGACACGUGGUAUCCUGUCUGAAUAUGGGGGGACCAUCCUCCAAGGCUAAAUACUCCUGACUGACCGAUAGUGAACCAGUACCGUGAGGGAAAGGCGAAAAGAACCCCGGCGAGGGGAGUGAAAAAGAACCUGAAACCGUGUACGUACAAGCAGUGGGAGCACCUUCGGGUGUGACUGCGUACCUUUUGUAUAAUGGGUCAGCGACUUAUAUUCUGUAGCAAGGUUAACCGUAUAGGGGAGCCGCAGGGAAACCGAGUCUUAACUGGGCGUUAAGUUGCAGGGUAUAGACCCGAAACCCGGUGAUCUAGCCAUGGGCAGGUUGAAGGUUGGGUAACACUAACUGGAGGACCGAACCGACUAAUGUUGAAAAAUUAGCGGAUGACUUGUGGCUGGGGGUGAAAGGCCAAUCAAACCGGGAGAUAGCUGGUUCUCCCCGAAAGCUAUUUAGGUAGCGCCUCGUGAACUCAUCUUCGGGGGUAGAGCACUGUUUCGGCUAGGGGGUCAUCCCGACUUACCAACCCGAUGCAAACUACGAAUACCGAAGAAUGUUAUCACGGGAGACACACGGCGGGUGCUAACGUCCGUCGUGAAGAGGGAAACAACCCAGACCGCCAGCUAAGGUCCCAAAGUCAUGGUUAAGUGGGAAACGAUGUGGGAAGGCACAGACAGCCAGGAUGUUGGCUUAGAAGCAGCCAUCAUUUAAAGAAAGCGUAAUAGCUCACUGGUCGAGUCGGCCUGCGCGGAAGAUGUAACGGGGCUAAACCAUGCACCGAAGCUGCGGCAGCGACACUAUGUGUUGUUGGGUAGGGGAGCGUUCUGUAAGCCUGCGAAGGUGACCUGUGAGGGUUGCUGGAGGUAUCAGAAGUGCGAAUGCUGACAUAAGUAACGAUAAAGCGGGUGAAAAGCCCGCUCGCCGGAAGACCAAGGGUUCCUGUCCAACGUUAAUCGGGGCAGGGUGAGUCGACCCCUAAGGCGAGGCCGAAAGGCGUAGUCGAUGGGAAACAGGUUAAUAUUCCUGUACUUGGUGUUACUGCGAAGGGGGGACGGAGAAGGCUAUGUUAGCCGGGCGACGGUUGUCCCGGUUUAAGCAUGUAGGCUGGUUGUCCAGGCAAAUCCGGAUAAUCAAGGCUGAGGUGUGAUGACGAGGCACUACGGUGCUGAAGUAACAAAUGCCCUGCUUCCAGGAAAAGCCUCUAAGCAUCAGGUAACAUUAAAUCGUACCCCAAACCGACACAGGUGGUCAGGUAGAGAAUACCAAGGCGCUUGAGAGAACUCGGGUGAAGGAACUAGGCAAAAUGGUGCCGUAACUUCGGGAGAAGGCACGCUGGUGUGUAGGUGAAGCCCCUGCGGGUGGAGCUGAGACCAGUCGAAGAUACCAGCUGGCUGCAACUGUUUAUUAAAAACACAGCACUGUGCAAACACGAAAGUGGACGUAUACGGUGUGACGCCUGCCCGGUGCCGGAAGGUUAAUUGAUGGGGUUAUCCGUAAGGAGAAGCUCUUGAUCGAAGCCCCGGUAAACGGCGGCCGUAACUAUAACGGUCCUAAGGUAGCGAAAUUCCUUGUCGGGUAAGUUCCGACCUGCACGAAUGGCGUAAUGAUGGCCAGGCUGUCUCCACCCGAGACUCAGUGAAAUUGAACUCGCUGUGAAGAUGCAGUGUACCCGCGGCAAGACGGAAAGACCCCGUGAACCUUUACUAUAGCUUGACACUGAACAUUGAGCCUUGAUGUGUAGGAUAGGUGGGAGGCUUUGAAGCGUGGACGCCAGUCUGCGUGGAGCCAACCUUGAAAUACCACCCUUUAAUGUUUGAUGUUCUAACGUUGGCCCCUUACCGGGGUUGCGGACAGUGUCUGGUGGGUAGUUUGACUGGGGCGGUCUCCUCCCAAAGCGUAACGGAGGAGCACGAAGGUUAGCUAAUCCUGGUCGGACAUCAGGAGGUUAGUGCAAUGGCAUAAGCUAGCUUGACUGCGAGCGUGACGGCGCGAGCAGGUGCGAAAGCAGGUCAUAGUGAUCCGGUGGUUCUGAAUGGAAGGGCCAUCGCUCAACGGAUAAAAGGUACUCCGGGGAUAACAGGCUGAUACCGCCCAAGAGUUCAUAUCGACGGCGGUGUUUGGCACCUCGAUGUCGGCUCAUCACAUCCUGGGGCUGAAGUAGGUCCCAAGGGUAUGGCUGUUCGCCAUUUAAAGUGGUACGCGAGCUGGGUUUAGAACGUCGUGAGACAGUUCGGUCCCUAUCUGCCGUGGGCGCUGGAGAAUUGAGGGGGGCUGCUCCUAGUACGAGAGGACCGGAGUGGACGCAUCACUGGUGUUCGGGUUGUCAUGCCAAUGGCACUGCCCGGUAGCUAAAUGCGGAAGAGAUAAGUGCUGAAAGCAUCUAAGCACGAAACUUGCCCCGAGAUGAGUUCUCCCUGAGACUUUAAGUCUCCUGAAGGAACGUUGAAGACGACGACGUUGAUAGGCCGGGUGUGUAAGCGCAGCGAUGCGUUGAGCUAACCGGUACUAAUGAACCGUGAGGCUUAACCUU